UUCAUAGUGGAAAUUUCCUUGACUUCUCUGGGCAUAGAGUAUCAUCGUACCUGCCACACGAUGUACGAAUGCGAAAAUGACAAUGUAUUUCUUGCACGAGUCUCCAAGAAGCUUCCCCAAGCAAAGGAAAGGAUUCAUUAACAAGUUUGAAAGCAACUUGAAAUAGCUUCCCUCAAGCAGCUUAGGAAAGUUUUUCAAAAAGUUUGGAAAGGCUUCCUAAAAAAUCGAAAGGCGUCCCAAGCAGCUUAAGAAAGCUUCUUCAAGAAGCUUGACAAAGUUUCUCCAAGAAGCUUAAAAAGACUUCCCUAAGAAGCUAGGAAAGGCUUCCCCAAGAAACUUGGAAAAGCUACCCUAGGAAGCUUGAAAAAGCUUAGAAAGGCUUCCCCAUGAAGCUGGGAAAGAUUUCAACAAGAAACAUGAAAGGCUUCCCAAAGAAGCGUGGGAAGGCUUUCCCAAUAUGCUUGGAAAGGCUUCCCUAAUAAGCUUUAAAGGCUCUCCCAAAAAGCUUAGAAAGGCUUCCCCAAGAAGCAUGGAAAAGCUUUCCCAAGAAGCUUGGAAAUGCUUCUCCAAGAGGCUUGAAAAGGCCUCCCCGAAAAGCUUAGGAUGGCUUCCUCAAGAAGCUUGGAAGGCUUCCCUCAAAAAUCUUAGAAAGAUUUCCCCAUGAAGCUGGGAAAGACUUCUCCAAGAAACAUGAAAAGGCUUCCCCAAGAAGCUUGGAAAGUCUUCCUCAAGAAGCAGUGAAAGGCUUCCUUAAGAAGCUUGAAAAGGCCUUCCCAAAUAGCUUAGAAAGUCUUCCCCAAGGAGCUUGAAAAGGCUUCCUCAAGAAGCUUGGAAAAUUUUCCCCAAGAAGCAUGAAAAGUUUCCCCAAGAAGCUUCGAAAUGUUUCUCCAAGAAGCUUGAAAAGGCCUCCCCGAAAAGCUUUGAAAGGCUUCCCCAAGAAGCUUGGAAGGCUUCCCUCAAAAAUCUCAGAAAGAUUUCCCCAUGAAGCUUCUCCAAGAAACAUGGAAAAGCUUCCCCAAGAAGCUUGGAAAUUCUUCCUGAGAUGCUUGCAAAGGCUUCCCUAAUAAGCUUGAAAAGGCCUCCCCGAAAAGCUUAGAAAGGCUUCCUCAAGAAGCUUGGAAGGUUCCCUUAAGAAUCUUGGAAGGUUCCCUUAAGAAUCUAGGAAAAACUUCCCCAAGAAGCUUGGCAAGGCUUCCCCAUGAAGCUGGGAAAGACUUCUCCAAGAAACAUGGAAAGGCUUCCCCAAGAAGCUUGGGAAGGCUUCCCUAAUAAGCUUGAAAAGGCUUCCCCGAAAAGCUUAGAAAGGCUUCUCUAAGAAACUUGGAAGGUUUCCCUCAAAAAUCUUAGAAAGAUUUCCCCAUGAAGCUGGGAAAGACU